ACUCUGCUCAACAUAGAGGGGGGAAGAAUGUCGGUUGCCCAUUGGCGGGAAGCCAGGGGUGUCACAAGACGUCGCAGAAUUGAACGGCGGUCUCCUCUCAGAAGAACAAUACUGGUCCAUUUCCGAUACGACAGUGCGACUUCUGCGGCGCUGUCGGCCUGCUCGUUCCCCACGACACCACAAUGGGCUGGAACCCACUGGAGAAGUAGCCUGUGGCCUGCUGCGUAGAUAGUGUGGCCACCAGAACAGCAGCUCUGCACGUAAAUCAUCUGAGGAAGACUUGCAAGGUCUAUCAUCUGCUUCACUGUACGGGACAGCACCUCGCAGAGAUUCUAACAGAGAGGAUCAACCCAUUUCGACUUUGGGAAAUGGUGGAUCAUCGCACUUCACACCAGCAGCUCGUGCAAUGCCUGAGCACGGUAUAACAUUAAGUAAAAACAUGAGUGUUUUUAACGUUUUCUCUUUCAGAAUU